rnacentral:rRNA from 1 species
AGAGUUGAUCCUGGCUCAGGAUUAACGCUGGCGGCAUGCCUAAUACAUGCAAGUCGAAUGGGGAGCUUGCUUCCCAUGGCGAACGGGUGAGUAAUACGUAGGUAACCUACCUUUAGGACGAGGAUAACCUUUGGAAACGAAGGAUAAUACUGGAUAGUAUAGAUUUCCGCAUGGAGAUAUAUUUAAAGAUUUAUCACCUAGAGAGGGGCCUGCGGUGCAUUAGCUAGUUGGCGGGAUAAAAGCCCACCAAGGCGAUGAUGCAUAGCCGGACUGAGAGGUUGUACGGCCACAAUGGAACUGAGAACGGUCCAUACUCCUACGGGAGGCAGCAGUAGGGAAUUUUCGGCAAUGGGCGGAAGCCUGACCGAGCAAUGCCGCGUGAAUGAUGAAGUAUUUCGGUAUGUAAAGUUCUUUUAUCUAGGAAGAAAAAACAAAUUGACGGUACUAGAUGAAUAAGCUCCGGCUAACUACGUGCCAGCCGCCGC